AUAAAAUCGAUGAACAGAAAAAGUAAGCGGAAGAAUCCAUCAGCGAGCUGACACAGAGUGAAAGGUCAGCGGCACUUGUUCCGGUGAAAACGCAUCUGGGAGAUGACUUUCUGAAUUCAGUAGGAAAGUCCGCAUAUCCGCGUUAAGGAUUUGAGGAGGCCGGGAUAGACCGGCAAUUAGAGUGGCACCGCGAAUCCAUCGUCUCUAGC
rnacentral:ncRNA from 1 species